rnacentral:lncRNA from 1 species
GGGGCUAUCUAGAAUCAAUUAUAAUACUUUAAUGUUAAGGAGUUUCCUUAAUUAAAUUCCAAGAAUUUAGGUCUAGCCGCCGUUGAAGGAAAAAAAAAAAACAAAUUUCAGUCUUGCCUCUCCGGUGGUCGGUGCUUCUCGCCGACACCGUGAGAGGGCUUUUGUUUGAUUGUUUUAGUUGUUAUCUUGCUUUGUUCUCAGUCUACGCCGGUAUUCUCUGUGAUGAUGCUUAGACGAUUGGAGUUGCGGAGAUGUCGCAAUUGGAUCUUUGGUGGCUGCGACGUCGGGUUUUGCAAGGAUUUGCGGUUUCUCCAGAGUUUAAAGGUUUUCUUUGGCUAGUGUGGCCGGAUGUUGGUGGAUCUGGCUCGUGGCGAGAGAGAGUAAGCGGUUGUUGGUGGAGGUUCUGUCUUCUUGGUUCUUUUGGGGAUGUGGUUUGUUUGGUUUUAUCGGGUGAGCUCCUCCUUUCGUUGGCAUUUCCAUGGUUGUGCUUGGUGUAGAUCUGUUAGUUUGUGUUGAAGGUUUAGUUGGUGUUUUUGGCUUGCGCAAUGGUGUAGUUAGGCUUGAUCUUGGUUCUAACUCUACGGGUUAUUGUACGGCUUUGCUGUGCUUUCCGGUUUUAGUGUCAUGCUUGCUCUAGCUCUCUGUUUUGGGUUCCUAGUUCUUCUUCGCCGAGUGCUACCUCUCGUUUGGGUGUGGUUUCUGGUGGGCUGGGUUCGUGUUUGAGGUUUGUCAAUCGGAUGGUACAUCGUUGCAGGUGCAUCUACUAGCUCUUCUCUAAAGCCUUCUUUGGUUUGUAUGGUUGGGUUCAAGGCGCAGCAGUGGUUUCGUUUACUAGUUCUUCUCUUGCGAGGUCGUGACCGGUUCAUGUCUGUAGGUGGCAUUGAUUGGUUUGCUUUGUCCGCGUGUAAGGGUUGGUGCUCCUCUUUGGCUUAUCCUCAGCCGUUUUCAAAGGUCCCUCUUUGUGCCUAGUUUCGUUCGAGCUCAUUAUCCUUCUGAAGUUGGCGUGAUGGUGCUUGUUGCUGUGCUCGCUUUUUAGCUUAUUCCUUCUCUCUGUUCUGUCGGGUUGUGGCUAGUUGAGCUCUCUUAUUAGUUCUUCUUCGGAUUCUCCGGUAGUUUGGAGAUUGUCUGUUUCUUUUCGAGGCUCAUGUUUCUUGGUCCAGCUCCGUCGCCAACUGUUUCUCUGGGAUUGUUUGAAGGUUAUGUUGGUUUCGAGUUUCAAAUUUAGUUCUUAGGUUCCUUUCGGGCUUGUCUUUUAGUGCUUUUGAUUCUAAUUUGCUUCCCUUCUUUGAGCUUAGUUUUCCGGGGAUAUUUCUGUGUUCCGCCGGCUUAGUUUCCGAAAGAUUUUCGACUCUUGUCGGCCUAGUGUUCCAAAACCGUAUUCUAACUUGUAUUCCUCUUUUGUUUAAUAUAAUGAAUUAUUCAGACGGAAAAAAAAAAAAAAUUCC